UCGAAGCAAAUGGAACAUCCCGAAGAGCAUUACUACAAAAUAAAUCGACUUAUCCUGUCGUUUAGCGGACUAUGGCCUUAUCAAAGCAAGUGGAGGGCUUAUUCAAUAAGGGCUGUUAUUACUAUCAUAUUGGUGUCGUCUAUAAUUUUUCAGCUAUCGAGCCUCUAUACAUUUAACAUCGACGUGGACUUCAUAAUCGAUCUGAUACCAAUAUUUGUACCUACAUUUGGUAUGCUGAAUCACAUGUAUGCGCGUAUCAGACAUACAGACCAAGUAAGCUCGGUCGAUCAUUACUUAUUACAUUCUUACAAUAAGCUUUUAUUUAAGGGGGAAUUUAAGGAGAUGCUGGAAAUUUUCCAGAGCGUAUGCCACACAAUAUACUACAUAUGGUUGUUCGUGCCGGAAAUUCUCGAUGUUAUAUCACCCAUGAAUGAAUCCCGUUUGCGAAUGCAACCUUUUAAAGCUGAGUUCUUUAUCGAUGAGGAACGAUAUUUUUACCUCAUUCGCUUACAUAUAUGCAUCGUAAUUUUUACAGUACCAGUACUUCUCCUUGCUUAUACUACACUGUUUAUGGUUCUUGCGCAACAUGCUUGCGGAAUGUGCGAGUUGCUGGGAAUUUUCUUUUACAUUGCAAGAUUUAUUAAUAUGAUAGACAUCUUUCACACAGUACCGUUUCUAAUGGACAUCCUAGGAUUAAUAUUUGUGAUAAGCUUUGCAAUGAUUCAGAUGCUAACCAUUGGCAACGAUUUUGAUCGAGCCUUCAGAUCUACUGCUAUCGUUAUUGUAACACUGACGUGUCUAUUUGCAUUUAAUUACAUGGGACAAAGAAUCAUGGACGCAAGUUCGAGCGCAUGCGAGAAGGUAUACAACUGUAUGUGGUACAAUGCAGAUGUUUCAGACCAGAAAUUGUUAAUAUUAAUAUUGAAACGACGCUUCCGUCCGCUUGUCUUAACUGCUUCUAAAUUUUACGUAAUGUCCUUGCAAAAUUUUGGAAGGGUAAGGAAAAAUCAGAAUAUAUAUCGAUCACGAAAAUUGCAAUGAUGAAGGUAUAAAAAAUGUUCAUCUUCUUAAGAUUCUUCAAACGAUAAUCUCCUAUUGCAUGUUUAUGAGGCAAUUUUGAGGACACUUCCAUCAGCUGUAGACGCAGACAUAAGAAUAGAAAAUGUAGCCUUUUUAGCACGUAGCCUAUCUGAGUCUACGUUGAUCUACGAGAGGACAUCAUCAUGUCAGUGGUCUCAUAUUUAAAUUCUUUGCAAAGAAACAAAUUUGUUAGUACGUUUGGCAGAAAAAGGAUCCACGUAUUUAAGACAACGCUGAAGGAAUAUUAACUGCAAAACGUAGAGAUAAGUUUACUAAAGUGUGCUAUGUUAAUAUGUUGUAGUAAAAAACUCUGAAAAAAUUAUCCGUGCGAAUGAAAUAAUCUCAAACAAUAUCACUGAUCCAAUUUAUGUUAUUUGGGUAUUUUUGAAAGAUCAAAAUGUCUCCGAUUGGUGAAAUAAAUAAAUUCAUUUGUGCGAAGAGUUCAAAAUGUACAACAUCCUUCACAAGUCACGUAUCCACUACGAGACCCCGUGAUCCUUUGCGAUGCAUCGGAUCGGCGAAAAGUCGGUCGUAAGUCGUGAAGUGGAGUCACCGGCGUCCAUGGAAGCCGGUUUAAUAACAUUAAUGAAGGAACAGCCCGCGCGAGCGAGAGAGCAGGCGAGCGCCCCUCGUCUCCCCCUCGAGAUUUUCCUCCCCGCCCCUUCUCUCAUUCUUUAUCCUUAGAGGAAAUAAAACCAGAGUUGUAAGAGCCGAAUGAUUAAUAUCCAGCCGACAGUUUGUGAAGCGGGCAGCCAAUAAACGGGAUAAAAAUACUCGUGAAAAAUAGCGCGCUCAUUAGGGGUACAGUGACAUCUGCGACUGCCUGCCUCUUGAGUGCUCUCGCGCUCUCGCGAGCAGCCCGGAGAAGGCGGGUCGAAGAGGCCGAUGGGGUGAGCAGGCAAAGGAGAAGAGAGCGACGGAGGGGGGGUGGGAGGCAGCUCCGGUGGAGGAACGGAGCGCCGGAAAACGGAGGGACAGAUUUAUUAAAGUAAUGGCAGAUUAUUUUAAUAUUCCGAUGGGAGUGCGCGCUCCAUUCGUUGUCUCGCGCCAAUUCAAUAAUCCGCGCCCGGCCGAUCCUUUUCUCGCUGG
rnacentral:sRNA from 1 species